CUCGGUGGGGGGUCCCCCUCAGCCCAGAUUGCAAGAGGGCACAGGCCAGGCUGAGGGAUCCCACCAGUGCAUG
rnacentral:pre_miRNA from 1 species